UUGGGUUUCGGUCUGGGAGUAGUUUUUUUGGGUUACAUGAACCCUUUAAUACAAAACGGGCUAAAUUAUUAAGCUGGUCAUUUUCUAGGUAUUGGGCAUCAUCUAGGUUCUCUUACCCAAGGCCCAUCCGCCGCCCAUUUUUCCAUUUUCAUCUCACUUUCCCUACUCCUUACCCUUGGCAUGCGCUCAAAAUACUCACAGUAAGUAUACAUUUUCUCUAGAGACAGACACAACAUCAUUUCAAAAUUUUAAGGUGAUUUUGGAAGGUGUAAACGUUUACUUUGCUUUUCUUUAUCAAUCUCAUGUAAAGGCAUGAUUUGGCCACAAUUAUUGAUACACUUGCGUAAAUAAUUUAAUUAAAUCAAUUGAAAAUAAUCUCAAUCCUCACCCUUAAUAUUAAAAAAAAAAAUUUUUGGGACAUGACCAAUUUCUGGCCGUAAGUUAUACCUACAAAAAGUGGAAAAUGAAAUGAUUUGAUUGAGACUUAAUGAUGUUUGAUGCUAUCAUAAUAGACACGGUUAAGAAUUUAAUUCCGGAUUAAUGAAGAAACGUGCAAAAGCAAUCUUGUCUAUACUAUAGGGCUAAAAAGCCUAAACCUCACGCACAUGGCCAUUGGAAAACACAAGGGUCACGCCAUGGUGGACCCUUUCCUGACUCUUUCUCCACCAAGUAUUUGUGAACAAAAUUUUGAAUUGCUUUCUCUUUGUGAAACCAUAACCCACUUGAAAAUAAUGUAUUGUUAGACAUAAAAAUUCUUCCACAUUUGACCGUUGAAACAUAGGAGUAGGUGGGAAACUUGUCAAACAGAUAUUAUGAAAUGAGGUUUUAAUUUGAUAGUCUUUUUAUUGAUUGAUAUUUAUACAAUUGUUUUUCAAAUUGGAUCCCAACAAUUAAGUGAUUAAUCAAUACAAAAUUCAACUACACCAAUCUGUUCUCUUGGAUCGUUUGACAAGGUAAAUUGUCACAUGGUUAAAUGAAGAAGAUUUAAUUUUAAUAAAAAUCUUUUGUUGCAAUGGACCUAAUGUUCUUGUUUUACGUUUCUUAAAUUUAUUGACUGAUCAUAAUUUUUUUUUUUAAAUGGUCAAAAAGAAAUCAAGUCGGUGCACUUGUACUAGGAAACCAAAAGGUCCAGUCUACAACUGUUCAACUUAUUCAGAUGCAAUGGAUCGAAUAAAAAUAUAGCAUAUUCUCAUUACGAGAAAACAAAUAAGGAGUAGAGCUAGUCAAUUUCGCCGUGCUUGAUGCGGACGUGAUUUGCUCUAAGAAGAAAUAUAUGCAGUCUAAUUUGGUUAAGAAAUCAGAAGGGAAAAAGAUCUUGAUGGCUUACUUCAUCUUCAAAUUCUCAUUUAAGAAAAGAAAAACAAUUUUCUAUUAGAUAAAAAUUUAUUUUUAAUACAUUGAUCGUAUUUACUGUCAGUAUAUAUGAUAAUCUUUUUAUUAAAUAAAAAAUGGUAUUCAUUUGACUUUAUUUUUCAUUAUGAAUAUUAAAAAAACUUUUCAAAGGAAAUGUUAGAUGGUUCUGAAUUACAUGAUAUCCCGGAAAACAGGUCAUCAAAAUUAAAUUAAUUUGAUAAAAGAAGUCCAAUCUGAACAAAAUAAAAUAAGGAGGAGCUCUUACAUGUUUUAGCUGGUAAUUUUAUAGUAUUCUAGUUUUGGCAGCGAAUCUAAACAAUUUCUACCUUUCAUUUGUCAUGGAAUAAGUUUGCAAUUAAAAGUAAAACUUGUUAUUGCAUUACGAGGGGACCAAAAAGAAAAAAGAAGAAGAAAAGAACCCAUAUCUUCAACCUAUUUUUUAAUUAUAGCAAUCCUUUCUUCACCAUACUAAUCAAAUUUCCUGCCUUACUGACAAUCCUGUAAUAGAAACAAUAAGAAUUGAAAUAUGGUUCUCAAAGGGCAUUUGUGCACUUGCUUCAAUGUGCAUUGGACACUGACGAUCUAACUAGACCUCUUAUGUACAAAAAUCCUAAGGACACCAUUAGGAAAAGGAAAAAUCGAAAGGGAAAAUGCAAACCCAAGAAAAAGAAAAAAAUCGAAAGGAAAAUGAAAACUUUCACACACUUGAAUACUAAUGCUUUUGGGACUUUGGGUCGAUACUGAUUCCUGGAGCCAUGUCCGAGAAAACUAUCAAGAACUUGUCUAAGUGAUCCGAUUAUGAUCCUUUAUUAUGCGACUCCCCAGUUAUGCUGCUCUCUGAUACUGAUUUCGAUGUUCCAGUUGAAACCGUGCUGGAGCUACUACCUGAAUCCAGAUUAGUUUUUUCUGAGCUUAUUGAGCUUAAAUUCGGCCUUAGUCUUUGGACCGAUGAUUCGGACCGAUGAUUCGGACACAACUUCAGCUGGAAAAUUGAGUAAAG
rnacentral:lncRNA from 1 species